rnacentral:rRNA from 1 species
GAUGAACGCUGGCGGCGUGCCUAAUACAUGCAAGUCGAGCGAACGGACGAGAAGCUUGCUUUUCUGAUGUUAGCGGCGGACGGGUGAGUAACACGUGGAUAACCUACCUAUAAGACUGGGAUAACUUCGGGAAACCGGAGCUAAUACCGGAUAAUAUUUUGAACCGCAUGGUUCAAAAGUGAAAGACGGUCUUGCUGUCACUUAUAGAUGGAUCCGCGCUGCAUUAGCUAGUUGGUAAGGUAACGGCCUACCAGGGCAACGAUGCAUAGCCGACCUGAGAGGGUGAUCGGCCACACUGGAACUGAGACACGGUCCAGACUCCUACGGGAGGCAGCAGUAGGGAAUCUUCCGCAAUGGGCGAAAGCCUGACGGAGCAACGCCGCGUGAGUGAUGAAGGUCUUCGGAUCGUAAAACUCUGUUAUUAGGGAAGAACAUAUGUGUAAGUAACUGUGCACGUCUUGACGGUACCUAAUCAGAAAGCCACGGCUAACUACGCG